GUUCCUAUGGUCUAGUGGUCAUGACGCUUCGUUGUGGAAUCAAUCAGCAUCCGAAGCAGCCCGUGUUCGAUUCACGGUGGGGACA